CCAGACUCCUACGGGAGGCAGCAGUGGGGAAUAUUGCACAAUGGGGGAAACCCUGAUGCAGCGACGCCGCGUGAGUGAAGAAGUAUUUCGGUAUGUAAAGCUCUAUCAGCAGGGAAGAUAAUGACGGUACCUGACUAAGAAGCCCCGGCUAACUACGUGCCAGCAGCCGCGGUAAUACGUAGGGGGCAAGCGUUAUCCGGAUUUACUGGGUGUAAAGGGUGCGUAGGUGGCAGGGCAAGUCAGAUGUGAAAGCCCGGGGCUCAACCCCGGUACUGCAUUUGAAACUGUCCAGCUGGAGUGCAGGAGAGGUAAGCGGAAUUCCUAGUGUAGCGGUGAAAUGCGUAGAUAUUAGGCGGAACACCAGUGGCGAAGGCGGCUUACUGGACUGUAACUGACACUGAGGCACGAAAGCGUGGGGAGCAAACAGGAUUAGAUACCCGCGUAC
rnacentral:rRNA from 1 species